rnacentral:rRNA from 1 species
AUCGAACGCUGGCGGCAUGCCUUACACAUGCAAGUCGAACGGUAACGCGGGGCAACCUGGCGACGAGUGGCGAACGGGUGAGUAAUGUAUCGGAACGUGCCCAGUUGUGGGGGAUAACUGCUCGAAAGAGCAGCUAAUACCGCAUACGCCCUGAGGGUGAAAGCGGGGGAUCGCAAGACCUCGCGCAAUUGGAGCGGCCGAUAUCAGAUUAGGUAGUUGGUGGGGUAAAGGCUCACCAAGCCAACGAUCUGUAGCUGGUCUGAGAGGACGACCAGCCACACUGGGACUGAGACACGGCCCAGACUCCUACGGGAGGCAGCAGUGGGGAAUUUUGGACAAUGGACGCAAGUCUGAUCCAGCCAUGCCGCGUGCGGGCAGAAGGCCUUCGGGUUGUAAACCGCUUUUGUCAGGGAAGAAACGCUCUGGGUUAAUACCUCGGGGUAAUGACGGUACCUGAAGAAUAAGCACCGGCUAACUACAUGCCAGCAGCCGCCGUAACAC